rnacentral:tRNA from 1 species
UGAGGGGUGUCCGAGUGGUCGAAGGAGCACGCCUGGAAAGUGUGUAUGGCUCAAAAGGUCAUCGUGGGUUCGAAUCCCAUCCCCUCAGCAA